GCAGUGGUAGCUCAGGUUAGGACUUUGGACUUCUGAUCUGUAGUUCAUGAGUUCAAAUCCCAGCUGCCGCU